UUUUGGAAAUAUACCCACGUACGUGCUCCUUUGGAAUCAAACUUUCUAUUUUGUUUGUCCUCUAAUUCCCUGCUUUCCCUCUAUAAAUAGCUACCUAGCCCAUUUGACGCCAACAAAAAAGAAAAGAAACAAAGAAGUAGGCAAAGAUGGUUUACUGCACCAAGUUGGUGUCCAUGGAGGAGGCCCUUGCCAUGGCUGAUGGAUCCAUAGUUGAUGUUUUUGCUGUUGUGGCCUCUAUCGGUCCUUUGAUCCCCAACUGCUCCCGUGAGCCAUUACUCAGACGGGAGAUUUGUUUGGUUGACUCCAGAUUUGUUAUGCCUCGCUUUUAAUUUACUUAUGCCAACAGUUGAAGAUUACUUAUGCCUCGCUUUUACUGCAGUCGCAUUGGAUUCCUUCGUACUGUCUCUGAUGACAAUUCCCAUAGCGCAGGGUUGGAAUUCCUCGAGGCAGAAAUCCAUAACAAAUAUCCGAUGGCAACUAAAGUCCGUGUAAACCGUGACAGAGUUUUGUCUUCCUGGUACAAAAAUAAACAGAUUUGGUGUUUCAAAGAUGGCUUUGAUGGUUCAUGUUUAUCAUUUGUUGUUUGCAGGUUGCCUCGUGGAUUCAGACCACACGGUGAUCACUUUAUUAGAUCCUGAUACACCCCCCACGAUUGCAACACUUGAAGGUGUCCGAACUUUACUCCGUACGGACGUCAUGUACCACGAUGCAGUUAAAAGGGCCAUUGUCGUCAGAGAAGAUUGGAUCAAGAAUGUACACUCACCCUCAAGGGUCUCGGACAGAGUUUCGUCCAUGCGCUAUAUGUACAAUUAUCUAUAUAACAAUGAUAAUUAGACUUGUAAUCAUAUCAUGCCAGAUUAGUUUGGAUUCGGAUUAGAUGUUUACGUUUAGUAGCUCCCAAUAGUAUGGAGAAUUGCUAUGAGCGGACAAGUGUCUUUCUUUCCUGGACUUUGUUUGGUUAAU